AGUCUCAUAUGUCAAUGUGUUCAUGAAUAAUACAAGAAUCGACAACAUUCGGUGUGUGGUUCUUUGAGUGUUUUUAUUUCCUAUCUUAAUCAUUGUAAUUUCAAAUGUAUAAUUAUAAGUCUCCGGAAUAUUUCUUACAUUAUACAUGCUACUGUGCGCUCGGGCGGUCCAGCUGUUUCAUCGUGGAAGCCUUCGCUCGACGCGGCCACUAAACGUUUCGUCCGCUGUAAAGCCCCCAAGUGAUACAGUUUUCUGUCUUUAUGUGCCAUGCUGAAAUCUAAAGAGCUGACUUACGAACGAAAACAAUCAGGAAAUGGAAAUAUGGGUUCCUUAAGUGAAGAAGUAGUCGAAGCUCUAUGGAAAUUUUGAUGAAGAAGUUCAUCACGGAGAAUUUCAAGAAGAAUGGAAAUGUUGAAAGAGAAAAAACCCCAAUGGUGUUGGAUAAAUAGCCAAUAAUUGCAAUUUGAGCAGGAGAAAGCUAUAUUUCUGCAUAUGGAAUUUUCUGUAUCACACUUUCAAAUGACGUUAAUUCAGUUGAUGAAUAAAUACAUCUAGAAUUUGUUUUAAUUCAAUUUAACUUUGGGAAAUAUUGUUAUUUGUGGAAAAUUAUCCAUUUCGUAUAAAUAACAAGGUAUGCGACUAUCAAAUAUUUCAUUAUCGUGAAUUUUAUGUGCUUGUACUCUUCUUCAAUCAAUUUUAUAGUAACAUUUUUUCACUUGGAGUACCACAGUGAAUAUCAAAUUAUAUCCACGAGCAAGAACAUUAAUCAACAGCUGUCUCAUUCAUCAUCCAAGUUUUAUUAUUUAUAGGGCAGCUGUACAGCUUAUAUAAAUUAACUAGGUACAAUAAAAGUCUUAUGUACGUGAA